GACGAACGCUGGCGGCGUGCCUAAUACAUGCAAGUCGAGCGAAGUUUUUCUGGUGCUUGCACUAGAAAAACUUAGCGGCGAACGGGUGAGUAACACGUAAAGAACCUGCCUCAUAGACUGGGACAACUAUUGGAAACGAUAGCUAAUACCGGAUAACAGCAUUAACUGCAUGGUUGAUGUUUAAAAGUUGGUUUUGCUAACACUAUGAGAUGGCUUUGCGGUGCAUUAGCUAGUUGGUGGGGUAAAGGCCUACCAAGGCGACGAUGCAUAGCCGACCUGAGAGGGUGAUCGGCCACACUGGGACUGAGACACGGCCCAGACUCCUACGGGAGGCAGCAGUAGGGAAUCUUCCGCAAUGGGCGAAAGCCUGACGGAGCAACGCCGCGUGAGUGAAGAAGGAUUUCGGUUCGUAAAGCUCUGUUGUUAGGGAAGAAUGAUUGUGUAGUAACUAUACACAGUAGAGACGGUACCUAACCAGAAAGCCACGGCUAACUACGUGCCAGCAGCCGCGGUAAUACGUAGGUGGCAAGCGUUGUCCGGAAUUAUUGGGCGUAAAGCGCGCGCAGGUGGUUUAAUAAGUCUGAUGUGAAAGCCCACGGCUCAACCGUGGAGGGUCAUUGGAAACUGUUAAACUUGAGUGCAGGAGAGAAAAGUGGAAUUCCUAGUGUAGCGGUGAAAUGCGUAGAGAUUAGGAGGAACACCAGUGGGCGAAGGCGGCUUUUUGGCCUGUAACUGACACUGAGGCGCGAAAGCGUGGGGAGCAAACAGG
rnacentral:rRNA from 1 species